AUUUUUAAUAAAUAAACUAAUAGAAAUUUAAGAGCCGCGGUAACUCUGACCGUGCUAAGGUAGCAUAAUCAAUCGCCAUUUAAUUGAUGGCUGGAAUGAAGGGUUAAACGAGUUUUUCCCUGUCUCGGUUACAGAAUAAGUGAAAUUGAGCGAUUUGUCAAGACUCAAAUCAUUUUUGAUAAGACGAGAAGACCCCGUUGAGCUUUACUUGAUCUUCUUUUAUUCAGGGUUUAAUAGAAGAAUAAACCCUCAAAAGAGAAGGGAUAGUUUGGUUGGGGCGACCACCCAAAUAGACGAAACUUGGGUACACAAAGGUUUUUUGUAAUAAAUGAAGCUUUACUAGUAGAUAGAUGUAUUAGCUAGCUAAGAACAAUUCUUAAGUUAUAGGGACCCGCCUCCUGCUGGGGGCGAUAAUAGAUAAAAGUUACCACGGGGAUAACAGGGUUAUUCAAUCCCAGAGUUCAUAUCGAAGAUUGAGUUUGCCACCUCGAUGUUGAAUAGCAGCAUCCUGAAGGUGCAGAAGCUUUCAAGGGUUGGUCUGUUCGACCAUUAAAGCC
rnacentral:rRNA from 1 species